AUUGAACGCUGGCGGCAGGCCUAACACAUGCAAGUCGAGCGGAUGAAGGGAGCUUGCUCCUGGAUUCAGCGGCGGACGGGUGAGUAAUGCCUAGGAAUCUGCCUGGUAGUGGGGGAUAACGUCCGGAAACGGGCGCUAAUACCGCAUACGUCCUGAGGGAGAAAGUGGGGGAUCUUCGGACCUCACGCUAUCAGAUGAGCCUAGGUCGGAUUAGCUAGUUGGUGGGGUAAAGGCCUACCAAGGCGACGAUCCGUAACUGGUCUGAGAGGAUGAUCAGUCAACCUGAAACUGAGCACCGUUCCGAAUUCCAAGGGGAGGCACCGGUGGGAAUUUUUGAACAUGGGCGGAAGCCCUAAUCAGGCCUGGCCCGGUGUGUAAAAAAGGUCUUGGGUUUGAAAACCCCUUUAGGUGGGAGGAAGGGCAGUAAGUUAAUACCUUGCUGUUUUGACGUUACCAACAGAAUAAGCACCGGCUAACUUCGUG
rnacentral:rRNA from 1 species